rnacentral:rRNA from 1 species
CAGAGGGUGCGAACGUUGCUCGGAAUUACUGGGCGUAAAGCGCGUGUAGGCGGGCCGGCAAGUCAGGCGUGAAAUCCCCAGGCUCAACCUGGGAACUGCGCUUGAAACUGCCGGUCUUGAGUAUCGGAGAGGGUGGCGGAAUUCCUGGUGUAGAGGUGAAAUUCGUAGAUAUCAGGAGGAACACCGGUGGCGAAGGCGGCCACCUGGACGAUGACUGACGCUGAGACGCGAAAGCGUGGGGAGCAAACAGGAUUAGAUACCCUGGUAGUCCACGCCGUAAACGAUGGGUGCUAGGUGUCUCGGGUAUUGACCCCUGAGGUGCCGUAGCUAACGCGUUAAGCACCCGCCUGGGAAGUACGGCCGCAAGGCUA